UAUGUUACGACUUAUCUUACCUUAAUAAUAAGAGCGACGGGCGAUAUGUGCAUAUUUUAGAGCUAAAUUCAAAUUAUUAAUCUUUAUAAUUUUACAAUCAAAUCCACUUUUAUUAAAAUUUUUCAAAUUUAAAUCCAUCUAAAUUUAUUUAUUGUAACCCAUCUCUUCUUAAACAUAAGCUACACCUUGAUCUGAUAUAAAUUUUUAUUAAAAUUUUAGAAAAUUAUUUUUCUUAUAAAAUAUUCUAAUAACGACGGUAUAUAAACUGAAAAACAAGAUUAAGUAAGGUUCAUCGUGGAUUAUCAAUUAUAGGACAGGUUCCUCUGAAUAGACUAAAAUACCGCCAAAUUUUUUAAGUUUCAAGAACAUAACUAUUACUACUUUAGCAUUUUUAUUUACAUUUUCAAUAAUAGGGUAUCUAAUCCUAGUUUA
rnacentral:rRNA from 1 species